UCAUAUCUCUCUCUCUCUCUAUAUAUAUAUCAAAAACAUGCUCUCGCCGGAACCUCUGCUCCGUCGCGCUGGAGGUGGCGGAGCCUCCCAAACAGGCCAUAAACCACCACCAAAUGUAUCGUACCAACCUCUUCUCUCUAAAUUUCAAAUCAUUUUCCUCUAAUAACUACAUAAUAUUUUGAAUCAAAUAAAAGUAACAAUGGACCUUAAGAUUCCAAAUUGAAAUUAAAUGCCACAGAGGAGGAAUCAAAACCUAAAAUUUUGGGGCUUUGAUUCCUCAAGCCUAAAAUUACAUGAUAUCAAUGUAAUCAAUGUGAAUUGAUGAUGAAAACAUGGAGCUCCCCUACGAGGCGGAGAAUGGACUCGGGUUUGUAGAAUUUGAAGAAGAUGAAGUUGAAAAUGGAGGAAAAUUCAAUUUUUUCCAUGAGUUUGUGAUGUGUUGGAAGAAAUGCCAUCAAGCUUCCCUUUUUUAUUUGAUAAUGGAACAGUUAGAGAAACUCCAUGGCAGGAACUGAGAAAUGAGUUCCCAACAAUACUAUUGUGUUUGAUCAAGGUGCAUUGACAAUUAUUGUAUUGCUUGCGUUUGAGGUGACACCAUCAAUUUCAUCAACAAUCAUUUUCCUACUAAGAGCAUGAGCAGAUGAGUGAAGAGGGUUUUGCCUUUAUCUUCAGUGGAGGCACACCUUAAAUCUCAUUGCCUUGUACAUCAGAAUGCUCAAUACUAUCAUGUUGAACUUUGGCUGUUUGGCAGCAUUGGAGGAUUGAGCAAAGACCCUCAAAAUGGCCAUUCAUGUGGUUUGCACUUGAAGAAAAUUGUAGCAUGGUGUAGCGGUAAAAUUUUUGAGAUUAAGUUAUUUGAUUAACUUAACUCGCAAAGCAAGAGUAGUCACCGCGCUUUUAUUAUUUCCAGAGGAAAAGGAAAAAAGUAUGAACAAAAUCCAAAGAAAUUUUAAAACAAAACUAAUAAAAAGAGAUAAGGGUCUGGGGGUUGGUUAUGUAAAGGGAAGAUAUUAUCACUCUAAACAUCUAUAGUACUCUAUAUGAACCUCUUUAAAAAUAUGUGCAUUUUGAAUUACAAGAAAUGAGGUUGUUUGCAAAAGAUUA